GGACGCGGACGCUCCAGCCCUGCCUAGCCUCUGUUUCUUACUCUCACCCGCCGCCGCUCGCCGGAUGCGGAGACGCUCACCGACGCGCCGCCGAAUCAACGCUCCACCUCCGCAUCCAUUUCUGCACUGCGUCUGGAUCGCCUUACUCACUUUGGAACUAGGCAUGCUCGCACUUGAGAUCGUCCAGGUCGUGCAGGAAGUUGCACGAACCUCUCGGCAGAUGCACUGCACCGGAACCGCCGGGGAUCUCGCAUUCCGAACGCAGGCAGUGGCGGCGGCCGUUCACUCCACCGCCACGUUCGCGCCGGCGAUCUCCACCUGAAAGUGCAGAGCUCCUCAAACACAGCUAGGCGAUGAUGAUCUUUCGAUCCAAUAAGGGAGGCUAAUACCGGAGUCUACAAAUGCUUCUUGGCAAUGUUUUCUAGAAGUUUUAUACUACACUGCUCUUAGCAAUGUUUUAUCACAUUUCCUACAGCCUGCAUAAGUAUUCUGUAGCUCGGGGGUUCUGGGAAGAAUGCUAAGGAUCAUGCUGAAACACGGGAAUGAUCCGUUUGCAUUGCAAAGGAUGGCACAAAAUGUGCUGAUACCAAUUGCCUCUUCUUACAGGACCAUGUGAUCUGCAAGGCUUGCCUGGAGGACUGCCCCGGAGCAGUGUCAUGCCAUAGUUUUAGUUUACACAUCCACAGAGUUUUACAAUGAAUAUGUUUUCAUUUAGUACCAUUCUCUGUAGCAUGUAUGUGAGUUCCCUAACUUUUUAA